GGGCAAGGACACCCAGCAGCCCCCAGGUGCAAUUGCUCAAAGAUUCGGGCUGGUGUUUGCAAUGUGGUAGGACUUUUCCGUGCGAAGGUGCCAAGAUGGCACCCCAAGGAAAUGAUCAACAGCGAGCGCCCGUGCCUCCUUCUCCAGGUGGCUUCCCACCCAGGUAUCCCCUCCUCAGAGCGUUCCAUGGAACACCAAGCCGAAAAACGGAAGAGGGGAGGCCACGAAAGAAAGGGGUAUUUUUCUUUUAUUUAGGGCGCUGCCAGUGAGCCGUUAUCUGUCUAGACAGAUGGUGUUCGCCUCUGAAACAGCCCUGGAAUGUGAAACUAUGUUUAUUUGUGGUUGGCUGGGAGAGAAGAAGGAAAAAGUUGAUGGAGGAAGUGAAGGAUAAAAUGGAAAAGGAGGGCACGGGAAGAGAGAAGGGGCAGCAAGAGGGAGAAUUGGUUUCACCCUGGGACAUAACAGGCAGUGGCGGUUGAUUCCCCGUCCUCGUUGCAUGACAUUUAUAGGCCACCUCUUCCUCAUGCAAAGGACCCAAAGCAGCUUCUACGAUCCGCUUUCUCUCCAUGCUUUUCUCACAACAACCUUGUGAGGUAGGUCAGGCUGAGAGCCAAGUCACGCAGAGAGUUUCAGGCUGAGUGGGGGCUAGAAGCCGGACCCCCCCCCCCCCAGUCCAUCAUUUGUGGCCACUGUGCUGCCCUGGACUUGAAUAGCACUGGGCCUGAGUGCCACAGGCUGUGUCUCUUUCCAGGGGGCGAGACGGAUAUAGAAGAAGAGGGUUGCAAAGGGCUCUGAGGCUGCCCCACCUUGCAGGGAGGUCGUUGGGAUCAGAUGCGGGAGGGGAGCUGGUCAUGUUCCCUUGAGCUCUGUGAAGGAAGUGCAAGAGAACAGUGCAAGAGCUACGUGAAAAUGUCAGGAGCUGAACAGGAAUUUGCGUGGAAGCAAGACAGAUUGAAUCACAUUUGUUUUUCCUGGAAAAUAAGUCCAGUCAUACAGACUAGCAAAGGCAGGAUCCUUGCAGUCCUGGUCACUUUUGCAACUCGGAGGACAAACCAGUGGUGUUCUUUCCUUGCUUGGGAACGACCCUGCUUGUUCUGCCAGGCGAACCGUGAUAGGAUACCGAAAGCGCAGCAAGCAGAGUUUUUCGCCUAGAAGAACAGCAUACUUUCGAGCGUCUUCUUCCUUCUGGCACAAGUUGCCUCGGCUUUGUAAUUUCUGUUCCUAAGCUCAGACUUGAGGAAACAUCUUUUUUCGCCGUUUUUGGAGGCGUUUGGUUAAAGCACCGCUGGUUGGGAAAGGAGAAAAGCGGGGUGUCCACAUCGAAAAUCUUUUGCUUCCGAUGCCCCUCGCCACGUGGGCACCACCCAAGCCAGGGAGGCUUGUGUGGCCCGUAGACAAGCUGGGAAUCCCCUUUCUCGAAAAGCAAAGGAGCGGCGGCAUGGAAAAUGCGCUCCAGUCGCAGAGACGAGAGCUGAACCCACUUCAAACAAAAUCCAUUUGUACUGUUUAAGUAGAUUCCAUAGGUUGGAGCACGUGUGUGUGUGUGUGUGUGUGUGUGUGAAUGCGCCUGCUUUCUACAUCUCAUUUAGCAAAGAGUUUGGUCUCCUUCCGGGUAGAUUAAAAAGAGGAGUAAUUGUAGCACAAACUUGCAAACUGGAGCCUCGCAGGAGGGUGGUUGUGUUUCGCGACCCAGAUCUCAUUUCUGCUAACUUGAAAUGUGCCUGUUGUGUUAAAAUCCACACCAUGUCUGAUUAGCUAGCGAAACAUUUUGUGUGAAGUGCAGAAUCCGGAAGUCCACGUCGCCUUCUUUCACCUCCACCUGAGGGCCAUUCGAUGGUUUCCCUGCAGCUUGUUGAGUGUUUUUCUCCUACUCUGAAGGACGGAAAUGUCUGUGCCAGACAUAGCUGCUGGCCGUAAGACCUUAAAGCUACAUUUGCCUGUUUUUUUUGUUUUUUUGUUAGAUACGCAACUGUCACUUUUAGAUAAAGGUUGGUAUUCACAGCUUUCAUUUACACAAUUUUUGCAAAGGAAAAUAUUUACACUCGUUUCAAAUACAAAAGAGAGGCAAAAACACAAACA